CCUACGGGAGGCUGCAGUGAGGAAUAUUGGUCAAUGGUCGGGAGACUGAACCAGCCACGCCGCGUGAGGGAUGAAGGUACAGAGUACCGUAAACCUCUUUUGUCAGGGAACAAAGGCGGGGACGCGUCACCGGAUGAGUGUACCUGAAGAAAAAGCAUCGGCUAACUCCGUGCCAGCAGCCGCGGCAAUACGGAGGAUUCGAGCGUUAUCCGGAUUUAUUGGGUUGAAAGGGUGCGCAGGCGGUCUGUUAAGUCAGCGGUAAAAGCCCGGGGCUCAACCCCGGCCCGCCGGUGAAACUGGCAGUCUCGAGUUGGAGAGAAGUAUGCGGAAUGCGCGGUGUAGCGGUGAAAUGCAUAGAUAUCGCGCAGAACUCCGAUUGCGAAGGCAGCAUGCCGGCUCCACACUGACGCUGAGGCACGAAAGCGUGGGUAUCGAACAGGAUUAGAUACCCUUGUAGUC
rnacentral:rRNA from 1 species